AUUCUUACAAUCCUUAAAGCAAGGAUUUUACAUCGUGAUAUUAAACAUCGUGAUAUUAAACAUCAUGAUAGAAAACCAAUGACCAAUGACUUUGUUUCCAGUGCCUUUAUAAAAAAUAGUACUUUAUAGAUAAUUUAUGUCAGUGUACACGGGGUAUACAAGUAAUUGAGAUUUUAAAUUUUACUCUGUUUAAUAUUAUGGGAAACUUAUAAGCUAGGUAUUUUAUUCACUUCAGUUUAAUGCAAGUGGUUAGCUCUUCCAGAAAGUUUUCUGUGACUUUUUUUUUUUUUGAGACCGAGUCUGGAGUUCGAGACCAGCCUGGCUAACAUGGUGAAACCCUGUCUCUACUAAAAAUACAAAAAUUAGCCGGCCAUGGUAGUGGUGGGGGCCUGUAACCCCAGCUACUUGGGAGGCUGAGGCAGGAGAAUCACUUGAACCUGGAAGGCAGAGGUUGCAGUGAGCCGAGAUCAUGCCAUUGCACUCCAGCCUGGGCAACAACAACUACUACUAUAUCUAUCUAUCUAUCUAUCUAUCUAUCUAUCUAUCUAUCUAUCUAUCUAUCUAUCUAAUCUAUCUAUCCUGAAUAGGUAAAUCCAGAGACAGAGGCAGAUUAGUGGUUUCCAGGGGCUGAGGAGAAGAAAUGAGGAUUAACUGCUUUAUGUGUAAAGUUUCCCUUCAGGAUGAUACAAAUAUUUUGGAACUAGAUAGAGGUGAUGGCUACACAAGAUUGUGAAUGUACAAAAUGCCACUUAAUCAUACACUUUAAAAUGGCUAAGUUUG
rnacentral:lncRNA from 1 species